AAGAUCUUGGUUACAUAGGCAAUUCAGUUUGAGGUCAGCCUGAACCACAGGAGAAUUUGCUUUAAAAACAACAAAACAAAAUGCAAACGCCCAAAUAAACAUCAGAGAAGGUGCUCACCUGGGAUAGCAUCACUGUCCUGGAUUGUUGGAGUGGACUUUUUCAUUUUAGUCUUAUGUUUACCUGGAAGAUAAAAGCCCAUUUAUUUUCAAUGUGACAUAUCCAGGGGGAGGGGCACCUUAAAUAACUUCCUAUGACAUCGUGGCAGGAUUCCAGCCUUCUGGCCUGUUUUCUAGAAUGCAAAGGCAAUACCGAGUCAAAGACAAACUACCAGGACGGUGGACAGAGCUGGACCCCACUGACUACUUGGCAGUUCUCACAGACUAAGUCUGGGUACGGGGAGGUGGGAGGUUCUAGCAUUUGAAGUGAGAGUUUUGAUGUCUUUAAAAACACAGAAAUGUCAUGGGAAUAUGUUUUCGUCUCAAUCCCAGGUGUGGGGUAUGGGGCUGCUGCUUCAGAUUGUCCACAGAAAUGGACUGUGAUUGGCCUUGUGCUCUAGCAGGGGCAUGAUUUUGCCAGGUGCAGACAGUUUCUGCAAGUGUCUGAUGUUUGAAGUUCUGGGAACUCUUGAGAGGGUAUAAAACUUCCAGAACCCUGAGAGGGGAUUGUGGCUGCUGCCUCUCCUCCUCAUCUUCCUCCUUUUCCUCUUCCUCCUCCUCCUCUUUGUCUUCCUCCUCUUCCUCCUGCUGCUGCUGGUUGCUGGUUGUGAAGGUCAAACUUGUUCCAAAGAUCUAGACAUCUCUAAUCAGCAGGAAGUAGUCUAACGAUAUCAAUGUUCCUUUUCCCCUCUAACUUUUUUCCUCUCCUACCUAGUGUUUGAGGGUUGGAAGGGAUAUGGGUGGAAUAGGGUGGUAGAAAAAGGGGACCCAUAAAGUAAAGUCAGGCUACACCUAUUUUUGUGAAAGUGGCUAGGAACCUUCAAACCAUAACUGGACACUAGCAUCCCCUGGGGAGCCCUUCAACACCCAGGCACCCAGACUCUACCAGAUCCCUUAAAUAAAAGGCUCUGCGGUGAGGCUAGGGUGUCACAACUUUUUCAGAGUCCCCUAGGUGAUCAUACAGACAAGGCAGUGAGAACAAGUAGCCAAGCUGUUUGUUUUUGGAUCAGAUCUAAUAUUUUAGAAGUCUUCAAAUUUACCACCCUGAGAACACAGAUACUCCAUCUGUGUCCCAAACAAAUACUCCUACUCAGAAGUAUAACUCUUAGCUGAGGCAGAAAGAUUGGUAUAAGCUCAAGGCCAGCCUGGGCAAUGUUAGUGAGUUUCAGACCACCUUGGACUAUAGUGUGAGACUCUGUCUCAGAAAAGUCUAUCUUGGGGUGCAGAAAUGCCUGGGGGGGAGUAAAGUGCUUGCUGCACAAGCAUCAGGACUUGAGUUCGAAUCCCCAGCACCCAUAUAAAAUUUGUGUAUGGCGGCAUGCUUUUGUGACCCCAGAGGAUGGAGGUAAGUGGAUGCUGAUGGUUUGCUAGCUGGACCAUCUCACCGAAGCAGUAAGUUCUACAUCUGGUCUCUGCACUCACUCCAGAGCCUGUCUCAAAACGCAUAAGGUGGACAGCAAUAAAGGAAGAUGCAGAAGCCAAGCUCUGUCGUCUACCCACGCACAUAUGCACAUAUGCACAGCUCUGACCACCAAAGCCUAUCUCUUGGGGCUGUGCAUGUAGCUCAAAGGUAGAGUGCAUACUUCCCAUACCUAAAUCCCUGGUAUGGUCGCUAACACCAAAAAUAAAAUAAAAGUAUGUAUCUCAUUUCCCUUCUUUUAAAAAGAAACAUUUAUUUAUUUUAUGUAUAUGGUAUACUGUAGCUGUCUCCAGACACACCAGAAGAGGGCAUCAGAUCCCAUUACAUGGUUGUGACCCACCAUGUGGUUGCUGGGAACUGAACUCUGGACCUCUGGAAGAGCAGUCAGUGCCCUUAACCACUGAGCCAUCUCUCCAGCCCCCUAUAUCUCAUUUUCUAUUCCCUCAAUGAAAUAACCUCUCACCUCUACCCUACUUCUGCAGAUCAUUUCUUCCAGGAAGCUUUUAGUUCCCAUUAGUGUUUAUAGUCUACUGGCUUGUCCCCCUGCCCCACACUGCCCUCAAACAGUCAUUGGUUUAUAAAACACCAUUUGUGUUAACACUCAUAAGUCUGCUUUGCCUUUCCCAUGAACAGUAUAGAGUUCUGGAAGAUGCUAUCCUGCCCUUGUCUACCCCUACCUCCUGUGUACCGAUGUGUGCUUUUAUUACAGAAUAUCGAACAGAGUGCCGGCUGCUUCUACCCAACACUGCUUGCAGGUCAGUGAUAUUCAGAAAACCCAACUGAGUAUCCGAACUCCUAUUGUUCAGCCAGUAAGAAGGUCUGCCCCACCCCUCCUACUCUUAACUACUAUAACCAAUAGGACUGUUCUAACUCACCAGUCAACACAGCUGAUCUCAAUUUGAACAUGAACGCUCAUUCAAAAAAAAAAAAAAAAAGAAAAAGAAAAGAAAAGAAAAGAAAAGAAAAAGAAAAAAAAGAAAAACAAAACCUGUCUCCAACCAUCUCCUGCUCAUUUUGACUAAGCAAAUUCUGAACAGGCGAAAUAGAGAAAGGAUAUGAUUAACCUUGACAUUCCAGAAGGCUUGCUCCUCCUCCUCUGUCCUCUUCUACCCUAGUGUUUCAGACGGUUUGCACGGAGUUACAAUCAGCACAUGAGGGUUAAAUUAAUGAAGCGAGAGACAAAAAUAAAUAAAAAAUAAAAAUAAAAAA